GGGGAAUUUUCCGCAAUGGGCGAAAGCCUGACGGAGCAAUACCGCGUGAGGGAGGAAGGCUCUUGGGUUGUAAACCUCUUUUCUCAGGGAAUAAAAAAAUGAAGGUACCUGAGGAAUAAGCAUCGGCUAACUCCGUGCCAGCAGCCGCGGUAAUACGGAGGAUGCAAGCGUUAUCCGGAAUGAUUGGGCGUAAAGCGUCCGCAGGUGGCACUGUAAGUCUGUUGUUAAAGAGCAAGGCUCAACCUUGUAAAGGCAGUGGAAACUACAGAGCUAGAGUACGUUCGGGGCAGAGGGAAUUCCUGGUGUAGCGGUGAAAUGCGUAGAGAUCAGGAAGAACACCGGUGGCGAAAGCGCUCUGCUAGGCCGUAACUGACACUGAGGGACGAAAGCUAGGGGAGCGAAAGGGAUUAGAUACCCCAGUAGUC
rnacentral:rRNA from 1 species